UCAAUUGCUCGACAGUAAUUUGUUCACCCACCGUAUUAUUUUCCUUUAUGAGAGAAGCCUCUAGUGAAACCUAUGGCCUCCGGGUCUAUUUUCCAUAUUAUACUUUAAGAUCUAUAAACCAAAAAUACCAAAAAUAUCUUGCUGCAAUUUAUUUACUUUUGUUUCUGCAAUCUUUUAUAUCUAUCUCUAUCAGAUCUCAUCCUUGCAAAUAGCUCUGAAGGGAUUGACAACCACUUUUUAGCGUUGGGUGCAAGUGUUUGAUUAUUUGUGUAGGUACUACGAUUAGGGCCUUUCUUGUUCCAACUACUGGAUUGAUACCAUGGUUCUCAACAAACUGAGGGAAAUACUUAUGUACUUUGCUGCAUCACCCUUUCCUCUUCAAGGGAAAACCAACGCAAGCUCAAGAAGUAGCAAGAAGAAUUUAUGGUGCCGUUGCCGAGGAGGAUACAUAGCAAGAUCAAGCCUACCAAGUACCCAUCACAAACUCGUCUCUUGCAUUUACAUUAUUUGCCUCUCGUUUUCCUCUCCACAACUUAACCAAUUUGCCAUUUUAUUCGCCUUUUUCUCGCCGGAUCUCUUUUUGUCUACUUGUGUUACCAUGUGCCUUCUAUUUGCUUGCAUCUUUGCUUGCUAAAAAUCUAUUUAUAUGGAUCCUCAUCGACUUGCUAAUCCAAUUAUGAUGAACCAAUUGCUAGUGAGUUGAGUGUACUUGAUAUUCUCCAUGAAGUUUUGCUUGAGAUUCGUGAAUCUGAAAAUUGUGAUGAAGUGAUUCACGAUGUGUCCUUGAAUGAAAAGCAUGAUUGCAAUGAUAUUGUUAUAAAUCUAUUAAUAGCAAUUGUGCUAAUGAUAUGCAAACCCGCAAGCUUGGGGAUGCUAUAUUUGAUGAGUUUUCCAUGACCACUACUUAUUGCAAUGAUCAUGAUUGGGAUGAAAAUGCUUCUUAUGAUCUUGAUAAUUUAUUUAAUACUCUUCAUAAAUAUGAUAUCUAAAGUGGGUUUGGAAGAGUGUCAACUUUAGGUAAAAAUAAUCCCACAUAUGUGGAGAGUGUUCAACCUUAUGAAUUUUUUGAUAAAAGUGGGUUUGGAUAGGUCAUGACUUUAGUUAAUGUUAAUCCCACUACCUUGGAAGAUUGUAAGACUUUUAUGCAUGUGGAUCGAAAUAAUGCUUUAUGUGAUAGCUAUAUUGUUGAAUUUAUUCGUGAUGCUACUUAAAAUCGCUAUGAGAGAGGAACAUAUGCUUUUACAUAUUGCAAUGGUAGGAAGUUUCUUCUCUAUGUGUUGGAAAUUUUGAAGUUAUACUUAUUUUGCCUUCCUAUGCUAAUUGAUUCUUGUUCCCAUAAUUUGUUUGCUCACGAAAUCCCUGUGCAUAGGAAGUGGGUUAGACUUAAAUACGCUUUUCAUGUUAUUCAUGAUGCUCUCUUUAUGUUUCAAUUCUUUACCUUUAUGCGAACAUCAUUGAAAUCACUAUGCCUAGCUAGGGGCGUUAAACAAUAGCGCUUGUUGGGAGGCAACCCAAUUUUACUUUUAUGCUUUUGUUUUUUGCUUCUGUUUUGGGGUACUGCACAAAUUAUUACCUCUGUAAUAAUUGAUUUUUAUUGUUUUAGUUAGUGUUUGAUCCAAGUAAGACCUUUGGGAUGGUCUACGGUGUUUGCAAGUUGAUUUUGCUGAAAAACAGAAACUUUCGCUCUCAGUCCAGGAAUUUUGUAAAUUCACUCGAACGUGAUUUUGAUCUGAAAUUUUUAAAAAAGAUUGAUAUACAAAUAUACCUUAUUUUACUAUUUUUUCAGAAUUUUUAGAGUUACAUAAGUAUUUGAAGUUCAUAGAUUUCUAGAGACAGUUCUCUUUUUGACAGAUUCUGUUUUUCUUUGUAUUGUUUGCUUAUUUUGAGAAAUCUAUGGGUUGUUUCGGGGGUAUGAACCAUGGAUAAGUUGGAAUACAGUAAAUAUUAUACCAAUAUAAAUAAAUAAUGAGUUCACAACAGUACCUAAAGUGGUGAUUUAUUUUUCUUCUACUAACGGAUCUCAUGAGUUUUCUAUUGAGUUUUGUGUUGUGAAGUUUUCAAAUUUUGGAUAAAGAUUUGAUGGACUAUGGAAUAAGGAGUGGCAAGAGCCUAAGCUUGGGGAUUCCCAAGGAAGCCCAAGCCAUAUUCAAGGAUACUAAAGAGCCUAAGCUUGGGGAUGCCCCGAAAGGCAUCCCCUCUUUCGUCUUCAAUCCAUCGAUAAAUUUACUUGAGGCUAUAUUUUUAUUCAUCACAUGAUAUGUGUUUUGCUUGGAGCGUCUUGUAUGAUAUGAGUCUUUACUUUUUAGUUUGCCACAAUCAUCUUUGUUGAACACAUCUUUUGAGAGAGACACGC
rnacentral:lncRNA from 1 species